AUGGAAGCACUGCGGCACACUGCGUGUAUUUUGCAGCCUGCAUGGCUGCCUGGCUCAGCGCUCAAAGAGAGCGGAAGAUAGGAGGAGGGGAAUGACUACACCAAGAGAGUAGGAGGAGGGAGGGAGGGUGGACAGUUUCCUUUUUGUAACACACGCUACAAGAUCACACCGGGAAAACGGAGAGAGAAAAGAAAAUUAUAGGCGAGAGAGAGAGAGAGGGGGGAAGGAAACACCGCAGCACCUCCGACCGUUCUUUUGGUUGUUGUUUGAGGGUGAGGAAUCGUCUUUUCUUUUAACGCAGACUAACAUGGGGGGAAGGAGCUCCUGACGCGGAUUGACUUUCAGUGAACCUCUGCUCUGUGGUACAAGUCUGUGGUUAAUAGGGAGGAAAAAGGCGACAGGGAAGACAUGUUGAGGGGGUUUUCGUCUUGAGGUUGCGGUAGGAUGUUGAUGUUGUGCUCUUAAAAAAGACAGACAGCUCCUCGUAGAAAAAAAAGCGAGGACAAAUGGAAAUUGUGCGUUAGGUUAAUGCUCAGGAAUCGUUGUUUUGAUCGGUGUUUAUUUAAUUGGUUUGUUAUGAUCUGAAAUUACCGUAGGCCUCUUAGGCAGCCCCGCAGUAAAUAAAUACACGGUCAGCAAACGGGCUACAUAGAAAUAAACCCGACAAACCUGGUAGUAUUUUAGGGGACAUUUUUUAAUUGAGCUGUGUUUUGUAGUAGCCUAAGGAGCAGUGUUUAGGCCUAUUUGUUUUUAAAACUAACGCGGGGGUUAGGUUACAUUUCUUGAACCAGAGAGGCAAACAUUUCCAUAGCCUUAUACAUUAACUCCUCAGGGGGCGGGGGGUCAAACAAAGGCCCUGUAGAUACAGUAACGACUUCUUUGCAGCAUUUAAAGACAAUUUUAACUGCAGAGCAAAAUCGUCCACAGGCUGGCUUUUAAACCCAAAGGUGCACUAGUAGUCAAUCCCCCCCCAGUUUAACUCAAGACAGGGGACAAAACAAGAUUUUUAAAUGUUAAUGUCGACCGACGUUGCAUCCAUCAUGCUGCCUGUGUCCCGGGGUCUCAUGGACCGGGAUAGAGAGCUGGACACCAUGGCCGGGGUCCAUCCCAACGCGGGCGGCGCUCCUGCGGUAGUCCGGGGUAUGAAACGCGGAGACCCGGAGCCUGACGGACAGACAACGGCUGCUCUUGUGGACUCGACCGGGGCGGAGUGCAAGCGUCCCCGGAUCGACGGCUCAGGAGGGAUCGGCGAGGUUGGUCAGAACAACGACCCUUUGGCCCUUGGUUACCAUGGCUACGCGUCUCAUAGUCAGGGCUCUCAGGAUAGUGCUGGCGGUCAGGAGGGACUCGUACCUCCACCUUUCUCCGCAUUCCCUCCACCUCCACCGCCACCCCCCCAGAAUGGCCUGGCACUGGAUUACGGGGGCAGCCUGUAUGCAGCGGGGGCCGUCCAGGGCCCCUUGGAAGCUGGUGGAGCAGCAAACAGCGCCGCCAAUGCUGCCAACAGCCUUAGUGGUCAACAGUCCGAUGGCUCCUCCCAGAUUGACGGUCAGUCAGUUGUUGGCUCAGGAGGCGUAGGUGGUGGAGGGAGCAUUGGGGAUGAUUCAGACGCCAAGGGGACCCCCAAACGCCUUCACGUCUCCAACAUUCCCUUCCGCUUCCGAGAUCCCGACCUACGACAGAUGUUUGGGCAAUAUGGCAAAAUCCUCGACGUCGAGAUAAUUUUCAAUGAAAGGGGAUCCAAGGGCUUUGGUUUUGUAACAUUUGAGACAAGUGCAGAUGCGGAGAAGGCCCGAGAGAAACUUCACGGUACGCUGGUGGAAGGACGUAAAAUCGAGGUAAAUAAUGCCACAGCCAGAGUGAUGACAAACAAGAAGAUGACCACCCCUUACUCUAACGGAGAGGGCCUCGCAACUCUGCCAUACGCUGGAUGGAAGUUGAGUCCCAUGGUUGGAGCCAUGUACAGCCCUGAACUCUAUACAGUUCCGGGGUUUCCAUACCCAGCCGCAGCAGCGGCAGCAGCUGUCUCUACUGCCGCAACCUUUCGAGGCGCUCAUCUCCGGGGUCGUGCAAGGCCCGUCUACAGCGCAGUCAGGGCAGCUGUGCCACAACCUGCCAUCCCUACCUACCCUGGUGUGAUGGCCUAUCAGGAUGGCUUUUACAGUGCAGCUGAUCUCUAUACUAGUGUUUCAGGACAUUAGUGGCAGAUUGCCCCAGGGCGGCUAUGCAGCGUAUCGUUACGCCCAGCCAACUGCGGUAGCAACUCCAGCAGCAGCGGCGGCUGCAGCAGCAGCUUACAGUGACAGCUAUGGACGAGUUUACACUGCAGACCCCUACCAUGCUGCGCUUGCCCCAGCUGCCUAUGGUGUUGGAGCCAUGGCCACACUGUACAGGGGAGGCUACAGCAGGUUUGCCCCUUACUAAAGACACUACAUUUCCCAGGAGCUCGCCUCUUCCAUUGAAUUACUCUGAAAGAGCUCCCUCUGUUGUUGUAAAGGUGGACUGCACCCAGUUUCAAAGUGGAGUCGACCACAACAAAGUUAUUUCAGAUCCCACCCCAGAGCAGUCCUACAUUUUCUUAUAUGCGCUACUACAGAAAUACUACAGAAAUAGAGGAAUGCUGUAUAAAGACUGACCGAUGGCCUUUACAUUAAAAAAGAAGAAAAAAAUAAGACUUAAAGUGGCCAACUUCCCUCUUGCACGGCUGUAAUAUAGUCUCCCCUUCUUAAUCCCUUGGCACUCAGCAGCACAAGACUUGUGAUGGAGCCCAGAUGUUCUUCCAAAGGCUGUACGUGGAUAACUGACAUUUAAACAGCUGUCAACAAUGUAUGAGAAAGUGCUGUGUGGCCUGCACACACUUAACAUUAAAGGAAAAAGAGAAAUCGAAAUGCCCACAAAACGGCGGAGCAGCAGGAAGCAGGAUGGUUCAUCGAAAUAGCCUAACAACAUUUUGAAAUGAUUGAAGAUUCACUAAAAAAACACCCACUGGUGGAUUUUAAUAAUUUGGGUGCAUAGCAAUGAAAUAGGAUUUCCAUUCUUGCUGUGUUCUGGUAGAGGGAGACUGAACAUGGUGGCUUGGAUGGAUGACGGUUUAUAUGUGUGACGGUUUAUAAUGCUUCAGAAAUCAUGUCUGAAAGCUGAAGGGAGGGAGGGUUAUUAGAGCGGUUCCUUACCUCAAGAUUUCUUAGUAUGUGGAAAUGGUGAACCUUUAAACUUAAAAUUGUUAUGAUAUGCAAAGAAAUUAGUUUAGAGAAAAAAACUACCAAAUUAUUAUUAUUAUUAUUAUUGUAAUUAUUCUCAUUACCAUUCUUAAAAACCAUUACUUGUUUGAUUUGGCUACCACUACAGUGAACCUUGGGGUUAAAAAAAAAAGGAGCAUCUAUAUUCUUUUUUUUGACUAUAUGACACAACUAUAGUCUCACAUCAUCCUUCUCAUGCACAGGAUCUCACUAAGACACUAAAAAGAGUUCAACACUAAAACAUUGUCUUCUGUAAUUGAUUUUUAGAUUUAGAUCUAAACAAUAUCAUCCACCCACAACCCUGAGGUUCAAGUAUUUUUUGAUCCUUUUAAUGUAGAGAUUUAUUUGGAUUUUCCCCUCAUGCUCCAUCUUUUAUAGAGCAAGUCCAACAUUGAAUGAGUCUUCCUGAAACAUACUUUAGUAGGUAAAUGUGUUUGAGAUGCUGCCAGCAGCAAUUACUGAGCAAAAGAGAGUUUCUGUUGAUGAGUUCAUAGACAAUAUUUAAAUGCAAAACACCUUACUAUUGUGCAUAUUUCUAUACCGUUGUAUUCUAUAUUUCCAAAACGUGGCUUUUUUUGGCUUUUUGUUUUGUUCCAAAGAUUUGUAGAAAGCACAUUUUUCUGCCGUAUGUAUAAAUAUAUUAUCUUUGUUAUUGUUAUUAUCAUUAUCUUAUGGCUGUGUUUAUUUACUUCUUUUUCAUCUUCCAUUUUUUUUAUAUAUAUAUAUAUAUCUAAGUGUUGUUCCUUAUCUAGUAAGGUGCAAGUUAAAUUUUAAGUAGUUUUUUAUUUUUUAUUUUGAGAUAUCUUGAGCAGAGAGCAUACGUAAAAUGAAAAAUACCAGUAUCAAUUCCAAUACCCUUAAAGUGAUAUAAAUACCUAUAGUGUACUUUAUGGGAAAAUAAUCCUUCUGCAUUUAAUGCCUUUUAUUUUCAUAGUGUAGCCACAUUUUAAAACAUUUUUGGUGGCAUCUCUGCCAACUCCGUCAAAUACACCACACUUGACUUCACCACCACAGACGGUAUGGGUUGUAGAUGCUGUGGUAGUGGGCCAAUUACAAAUUGCAUUAAAUCAAAGAAUGCUUGAAGUCAUUGGCUGCAAGCAAAACAGACCACACAAACUACUACAAAACAAAGUCAUUUUAUUUUUAGAUCUGAAUACAAAAAGUAUCUAAUGCAGGUAUCAUUUGACUGAAGAAGUUUCAAUACUAUUUGGUACUGGUUUAUUUACAGAUACCCAGCCCUACUAAGAAGUGGAAAAACUAAAGCGUAUGCAUGUAACCCUACCAAACUUCUGUCCUCUUGGUUAAAUAUCCAGUCAAUCCGGGCUACCGUUUAUAGGAUUGAUUAUAUGAUCCGUUAGCAUGACAUUUGAUUAUAUUUCAAAUAUACAAGAACGGCUGGAUUUGUCUUUCUUUUUGUGUUCCUGAGAUUUGGAAUGAAUGAACAUAGGUGUGUAGCACUUUGGUUAAAACCAACUGUGUUCUUGAGUUUUUCAUUUAUUCGAAUAGUUAUUGUUUUGUUUGAAGCAGACUCCUUACAUUUCAGUGGUUAAAUCUGUUAUUGCGGCCAUCGUGGUUGCUCCAGGUUUGUUUGAAGAUAUCUGGUAAAAAGUCAGAAUAGGUUAUCUCAUACAUAAGCAGGUUAAUAUUCCUACAUGGUGAAAACAAAAUGUCAUUGUGGGAUAUGAUCUAAGUUGUGUGUUAAAUGGGGCCCUUUAUGCUUUUUUCUACCUAAUAGCUAAUUGCAAAGCUACAGUUGUGUUUUUCAUUUCUCACAUUUGAAAAACAGGUCAAUAAGGUGUUUUGUUUCUAUUAAAUGUGCUGCUGUGGAUUUUGUCAUGACAUUCAACAUUUUAUUUGUAAUAUCAACUUAUUAUAGAAUGUGCUCUGGACAAAAAAAAAAAGAAAAAGAAAAAACCUAGCCAAAGAUGCUAACUUAGAGUCCCCAGCACAUUCUGGUUCUUAACUUUAGAAGUGCAACACAAAACAAAUUACACAAAGAUGGACUUAUGAAGCCACUGAAGGCAUGGAAUAACCAGCAUGAGUGAUACUUUAAAAAAAAGUUUUGCAUGAAUAUUGUGUCCUUCAUAUUUGACUCCUGAGCAGCCGAGUCCAGUUGUGUUCUUCUUUACCACUAAACUCAAUGGAGAAUAUCCGGCAGCUAGCAGUUUAAAGCUAGCUAAUACAACAAAGAGCACAGUGCUGUUUGGCAAAAAAGCCUGCAGACAAACAAAAUGGCUGCCGCACAAAAUAACACGUGGCAGCUUCAUUUUCCUGUCAUGGUUUUCUUGCCACUGUAUUAUAGUAAACUAUGUGGCCAGUCUUCAUAGUUGCUAUGGUUUCUCAAUGAACAGACCUCUUCCUCUGUCAUGUCUAUAUUGCCCUUGACUGCCAUUAUAUUUUUUUGUUAUUGAAUGUCCAUAUAGAAUGUUUUAUAUAAAAACGUUUUGUUGUGA